rnacentral:rRNA from 1 species
AGAGUUUGAUCCUGGCUCAGGAUGAACGCUAGCGGCAGGCUUAAUACAUGCAAGUCGAGGGGCAGCAUGGGUGUAGCAAUACAUCUGAUGGCGACCGGCAAACGGGUGCGGAACACGUACAGAACCUUCCUUCGAGCGGGGAAUAGCCCAGAGAAAUUUGGAUUAAUACCCCAUAGUACUACGGAGUGGCAUCACUUUGUACUUAAAGAUUUAUCACUUGAAGAUGGCUGUGCGGCUGAUUAGAUAGUUGGCGGGGUAACGGCCCACCAAGUCUGCGAUCAGUAACUGGUGUGAGAGCACGACCAGUCACACGGGCACUGAGACACGGGCCCGACUCCUACGGGAGGCAGCAGUAAGGAAUAUUGGUCAAUGGACGAAAGUCUGAACCAGCCAUGCCGCGUGGAGGAUGAAGGCCCUCUGGGUUGUAAACUUCUUUUAUAUGGGACGAAAAAGGGCCUUUCUAGGUCAACUGACGGUACCAUGUGAAUAAGCACCGGCUAACUCCGUGCCAGCAGCCGCGGUAAUACGGAGGGUGCAAGCGUUAUCCGGAUUCACUGGGUUUAAAGGGUGCGUAGGUGGGUCUGUAAGUCCGUGGUGAAAUCUCCGAGCUUAACUUGGAAACUGCCAUGGAUACUAUAGGUCUUGAAUAUUGUGGAGGUCAGCGGAAUAUGUCAUGUAGCGGUGAAAUGCUUAGAUAUGACAUAGAACACCAAUUGCGAAGGCAGCUGG